rnacentral:lncRNA from 1 species
AAAUAUACUUACUCAUUAAGAUCUUUAUUUCUCAUUUGUGACAUAUAAUUGACUUAUAGGUAAAGGAACAUCACAUCACCAUUUCAUACCUAUAAGUUAAUUAUAUGAUUUAAAAGAUAAUAAAAUAAAUUUAAUGAUAGACUUAUUGAUUAUUUUCUAAAGGGUGCAUCACUAGACUUAUUAUUAAGUUAUUGAGCCAAUUCUUCCACCAAGAACCCAAAAAUGGCCCAUUCUAUAUCCAUCACCGUAUCGUCAAUCGUCUCUUCGUCGCGUCUCUUCCACCCUUCAUUUCUGAAGUCCGUUUCUACCAUCAUAUCGAUUGUAUUCAGUUCAACCACUUUCCACGAGUGCAUCCGCUUGCAUACCCUUUGCACAAUCACGUGAUGUUCUUCAUUCUUGUUUUCUUCUUCAAUGAGCUCGGAGACGACACCGGCGACGAGAACUCGGGUCCCGGGCGAGUCAGCGACGGGCUUCGUUGAAGCGAAAACCGAAAAGGGCUAGAAGGAUUCGAACAAAAACACUCAACAACAUCUUCAAGUUCAAACUCAUGAACCGAUCUUGAACUACAUGAAGUCUCCAACUCCGAUGACUUCUCCCACCACUCACCACUACUAACCAUGCUACCAUUACACGAUCGAGACAAUCUUUUCUGAUCAAAUUUACCCUUCACAUUAUUUUCACUAACCGGUCCAAUGCCACGGUUUCUUACUUUUGUACUCCGGUCUUUCAACCGCCGGAGAAAAGAUCCAAACAACCCCAACCCGAUUUGUUUAGACUCGGGUUUGGGUUUCUGGACCCGCCCGGCUGCUUCCACCAGCAUGGCGGCGGUCUUCGCCGGAAUAUGAAACAUUCCGGCGGCGGCGGCAUUGUUACAUGGGCUCUUGUUAUUCAACUCCCUCGCCGGAAAACUCGCCGGAAAAUCAAGAAAUGGUGAUUUUUUAUAAUCUGGGGAGUCUUGGAGGGAGAAAAGACAGACGUGGUUGAUGCAGAAGUUGGGUUUGAUGAUGGGUUUGUGUUUUUUGAUGUUUAGAGAUGAUUUUCCGGCGACGGUGGUGGUGGGUUUGAGCUGGGAACGGCGGUCGGCGAUGUAGUUUUUGAGGUGGAAUGGUUCUUGGUCUUCUUUGAGUAACUCGUGUAGGUGUUUUUGACUCAUGGUUGGAAAGUGUUUUGAGGGGGGGUGGGGGUUUAUGAUUGGGAAGAUAUGAACAUGAGUAAGAUGAUGAGUUUGAAAAGGGUUGAGUUUGAGUUAGUUGAAGAGGUUUCAACACCAAAAGGGGAAGAUUGGAAAUUGUAAAAUGGUUUGGUUUAGAGUGU